CUGGAUAUUACCUUCUACCAGGACAGCUACAAUUUAUUCCAAGCUACCCAAGCUUUCUUGGAAUUCAAGUUAAAACAAAGCAAAACAAGUCAAAAUCCAUGACAGCUGCAGAGAUGAGAACUGAUUAAUCGAUUAACAUCCCCGAAACACAUUACGAGGAGGGGACGAUAAAUUAAGACAGAGGACAUCAUCUUCAACCCGAUUCCCUGAGCGUCCUUUACAGAAAUCAUCAUCCUAAUCAUAACCACAAUCCAUCCCGCCCAGAGAAAAAUAUCUAUAUUAUUAUUAUUACUGGUUAACAGCAACAAGUCAUUUGAUCACAUCACAGUGCAAAACGAGAUGCUAUAUAAUUACACUUAACUUUGAAAACACUCCCCCCUUUGCAAAUCAGAUACACAUAUUUAUAUAUCAUCUAUGAAUCAGAAGACAAAUAAAACAAGAGCUGUUCUUCACCACGCAAAAGCCAAGCGGAGAUUUACCUCAGCAGUGCAUGCAGUAAAAUAAUCCCAUCACCCUUUUGUUUGUGUUUACUGUUAGUGUAUCCUCUCUCUUUCUUUCUUUCCUGUGCCUAACGUGUGUUUGUGCACUGCAGUUGGUGGUGGAAACUAAGGCAGUGGAUCUGUAGCUAAGGGUAAUCCUGUUUUUACUUCCUCCAUCUUCAGCGAGGAGCAGGGUUAGCCCGGGACAGCUGGUCAAACCCCGAGAAACCGAUCCGCCGGAGCCCGAGCACAUNNNNNNNNNNNNNNNNNNNNNNNNNNNNNNNNNNNNNNNNNNNNNNNNNNNNNNNNNNNNNNNNNNNNNNNNNNNNNNNNNNNNNNNNNNNNNNNNNNNNGGGGGGGUGUGUGCUGUGUGUGUGUGUUUGUGUGUGUGUGUGCGCGCGUGUGCGCGCGGGUUGGCGAGGGCGCGUGUGCGCGUGUCUGAGCUCUGGGCCGCUCGGCGCGCUCGGCAAUCGAUUACAGGACAAGUGCUGCCCGGCGGCUCCGCGACGCGCGCACUCCCUCGCGCCCACCCGCGCGCCCGGCCUCGUCGCCCCCGGCCCUGCGGCCCCCAGACGGCGGACCCCGCCCCCAAAGGGGGACCAGAUCGUGGUGUGUCCAACUCACCCCAAAGAAGUCAAGAUUAUGUUUACACACUAAAACUAGGGGUUCUAGUUCGUCCUCUGCAGUUGAAUAAUCCUGGCUCUGAGACUCACAAUUGUACUUGUAGAAAGGAAACUUUGUAUAAACUAGGAAUUCACUGUGUUCACAAUUUUUCUCAACAGUAUUUUUAUAGUGAUUAGAGGAUGUAUUUAUUUCCGUCCUUUGCUGUAACUACACUACACACAUUUUAAAAGUGGUGUUCUCUUUGAAGUGGUGUUCUCUUUUAAAUGGGAUAUGGAACAAUGGUCUCAUAUUCUCCAUCGACCUACAUUGGCACUAUGAAGAAGGAAGCAAGCCAGAAAUAGAACCAUAAUUUCAAAGAAAACAUUCUAAGAUACCAAAUUCAGUUCAUAAGUAAGGCAUAUUAAUACCUCCCUGAGUACAUUGAUAAUCUGGGGUCUGUCUGGGUGGCAUGUAAGUCCCACAUGGUAAGGGCCAUCUCAUUCCAUCCAUCCUGAACAGUAGUUUCUUUUAACAAUUCUUAAGAGUGUCACUUUGCAAUUAAAGAUAAGGCUCUUGUCAAAUACCCAUGUCCCUAGAAAAGGUAGCAUUGUGACUUAAAUUCACACUUUGAUAGAAUAAUAUCAGAUUUCCUCUAGAGAGUACAUUUUGAUGUAGAGCAGACAAUAAGUUAUCUCUAUCCCAAAUGAGAAUUAUAAAUUGCGGGAAUUUAACUCAUACCAACGGAGCGAGGACUGGAGAAGUUUCUGAGUAAAAAUGAAAGUACACAUUUUUAAAGAUGCCAUCAGAAUAUAUCAUAGUUGCUUUAAAAUGCAGGUGUUUCAGCAUUUGAGAAAAUGAAUUCUAUUAAUGCAAAAAUGAAGGAACUUUGAGCUGGGUCAAGUGUAGAUAGCUGAUGCACAAAAAACAACUCUAAAAGGCACUGAGGAGAACAUUCUUCUAAAACACCCUAAAAUUUAUGAACACAAAAAGUUCAAUGAGGUUAUUGAACUCUCCAAUAAAGUUAGCACCAGAGAAGAAAAAGAUGAUUCAACUUUCUGAAGACACAACUUACAAAUAGAAAGGAUAAUAAUAAGGAGAACACAUUGUCUACUGAGCAUUAAUUUAGAUAAAGAUAAUAAAUACACUCUGGGGAUAAGAAGGAAAACCAAAAAUGAUCAUUUGACUUUGGAAUUAAUAAGUGAAAUUAGGGCAUAUUAAUCUAAAGACCUAUAAUACCAACAGUCAGAUUCUGCUAGAGAUAUCCAUAGUCUAAAACGGAUGACAGGUUACAUCUCAAGGGAAAGACUUGGUAGUUAAACCAGUGCCAAUAGGAGUGUGAUCCUGUUUUUUUUUCUUUGGUUUUUUAGUCCUGUGAAAAGCUCAUGGGAUUACAUGUCCAGUUUUUGUGAGAAGCCUCAACACUUUGUAAACCAAAAUUCUUUCACAGUGCAGCCGAGUCUAAUCACAUGUUUAAACAAUCCUAUAUAGACCAAAGAAAAUAGAAGAACACACUACCAACAGAAAGUGAAGGAAAGAAUCCUGGGAUUCAACCUUCCCCCUUUUUAUGGCCAGAUGGUGACAACUUAAGGAAUUAAAAGCCACGCAGGGAUAGAAAUGGGGAGCCGUUUCCUGCCUGAUAAGUCUGAAAGACGGCUGUGGUUUGGAAGAGGGAAAUUAAUCAAAGAAAGGUCAUUUACAGGUAGUAAAGUCAAAUGUCACCUCCCCCAAUUCUCAUGACUUGUGGUUUAGAGAAAGGUUAGCUUAAUAUAGAGGUUAGUGUGGCAUUCUGAACUGUCUCAAGACAUGAUAGAUGAAGAUGAGAAUAACACUAUCAGUAUCCCACCCCCUAACAGCUAUGUUCAGGCUUCAAAAAGGUAUUUAAAACUUGACGUCAUGGUGAGGUACUAGACACCUGGGAAAGUCCCACUUAAUAGACUAAGGGUAUCAUCAAAAGUCCUCUAAACUGUAUUCCACAAACUGCCUCAUUGAAAGACUAUGUUUUUGAAAUAAUUUCAUUUUUGAGAAAUCCUUAUGCAGAAUCUACAGCACUUUAGAUUGAUGAUAUAACUGAUUUCCAUGGGACUACCUAUAUGCCAUCAUUACCAUUAUAGGCAUUUACUUUAUGCCAAGCAUCAUGAUAAGCAUGUUACAUUAUCUCAUUUAACUGCCAUAGUCAUUUUUAAGAUAAUAUUAACCCUAAUUUUUACAUGAAAAAAAUUGAGGUGUGAAUACAUUAUUAAUCUUUUCAGGAUAGCAUAAUGUCAGAGUUGGACUCAAAGACAUGUCUUAAGUUCUAAAAAGCCCAUAGUAAUACCCACCAUGAUGUAUUUAGCAAUCAUACAGAACUGUUGGCUGAAGUUAACUCCAGCCCUUUGGGUAACUACUGUCCAAUAUUGAACCACUUGGAAGAAAACCCAAGUGUCCACAAUGUUCUUAGAAGUUUAUUCAAAUGUGGUAUCAACAUAGAACUCCACCAAAUCCAGGGCCUAUCUGUGAAACAUGACCUAUUUGACUUCUAAUACUUUAACAUCAGGUAUUCAUCUUCCUUGAGCUCUUCUGAACAAGUGAAUGACCUGAGAGAACCACUGAGAGUGAAUUAAAGGAUAACCACCCCAUAAGAAAUUGAGUGUCAAUUAAUGGUGACAAAGAGAUAGAGACAAGAUCUUAACUUAAAUUCUGGAUCACCAAGCAUAUUUGCACUUUUGUUUCAAAAGAGAUUGCUUCUGAUUCGUUGCUCCCAAAAACAAGCAUCACACUCCUUCCUUUUGUAGACUUACCUCACCUAUGUGUGCAAAGAAUGAACGACUGAGUUUGUGUAGUGAACGUUGUGAUUUUAAAUGGUUAUGGUGUUCUUAAAUGACAUUUUGAAUUCAAGAAACAUUUUUUUCUAGUGGAGAGCAACUCUCAGUUUAUAGUAAAGGUCAAUUUGAACAUUUUGCUAGGAUCCAUUAAACAAAGCCUGUGAGAUUAGGAUUUUUCUCUGUUUUAAUUUACAAAUCGAAUACUGGAAUAGAGACAUAAAUCGACACUGUUUUAAUUAGGUUUUCCUAUCCCAGUCUGCAUAGGUAAUAAGAGUUAUAUAUUUGUUUUCUCAUAGCAGGGUUUUUUUCCCCAAAAACAACAAGAAGUAAUACUUUGAUUUCAUAACAAGAGAUACUAUUUAUGAGGGAAGCUGAUUGGUGGCUUUGGGGGAAAUUUGUU
rnacentral:lncRNA from 1 species